rnacentral:misc_RNA from 1 species
GAUGAAGAACGUAGCGAAAUGCGAUAAGUAAUGUGAAUUCCAGAAUUCAGUGAAUCAUCGAAUCUUUGAACGCACAUUGCGCCCCUUGGUAUUCCGGGGGGCAUGCCUGUUCGAGCGUCAUUUCAACCCUCAAGCUCUGCUUGGUAUUGGGCUCCGUCCUCCUCGGACGCGCCUCAAAGACCUCGGCGGUGGCGUCUUGCCUCAAGCGUAGUAGAAACACCUCGCUUUGGAGUGCAUGGCGUCGCCCGCCGGACGAAACCUUUUGUAUUUUCUCAAAGGUUGACCUCGGAUCAGGUAGGGAUACCCGCUGAACUUAAGCAUAUCAAUAAGCGGAGGA